UUCAGGGUGAUUUACGUAAAAUAGAAAAACAGGCACACACAAAUGGCCUGACCAGCCGUGUGUUCUGCGGGGCCAAUGAUUAACUUUGGCAUGCCGCUUCCCAGUGCCGGGGCUGCCCGCCUGACUCUGAAACCAGCCAGGGGCACAGGACAGAGUCUAAGGCACUGGGGCUUGCAAAGACCCUGAUUUCCUAAGUCUGCAACUGCACCUGUUUGGGGACAAAGGAAAGCCUAGUGAUUCAGGUUUUAAGUUCCUAAUUCAGAAAAUAGGAAAUUCUACUCUACUGGGCACAUUCCUCUGGCCGGGCCUUUCUUCACUACAUCAGGUCUGGGAAAACCUCUGCUUCGGGAGCUCAAACCCUCUCCCCAUGUGAUUCUGUGGCGUAGGGAUAGAAAACAGUGAUCUUUGAAUGCACUGAUACAUUUGCAUUUAAUGUCCUUCAGGUCAGGACCUUUGGGGUUUUAACACAUUCAUUUAAGCAAUAAAAAUGAAUGCAUGUUCAUGCACAAACAGCAUGAUGAACACGCAGUUCCAACUAGAAACAGCAGCAGAUCGGUGACCAAGACUCUGGAAGGGGCUUCGGCAGUUUGAUCUUUCUUUUAUUUGUGCUCAGAGAUAGAUACAUUCACCAGAGGGUCAGUACGAGUUUGUUAUCGGCAUGGGCAGAGGCGAGGAAUAAGCAGAAGGAGCAGAUGCCCAGCCACGAGAAGCAAUGUUGCCUUCUCACCCGCACAGGUGAGGUCGUUCCGCAGCAGCGUGGGUGCCGAAACCUCACACCUGCGUCCGCCAGGACUCUGAAGGAAGCAGGGGCUGAGGCCGGCAAUGAACCGAGGAGGCGAGUUCUCAAGGAUAAGAGCUACUGGGAAUAAAACUUUAAAAGCCCACCUGAAUUUCCCACCAGAAAGUCCGUAUUACCUUGUAAGGGGUAACUUGGGGUCAGGGAAAAGGAACCCAGAGCUUCUGAGUCUGGAGCAGAGGUAGACAACAUUCCAUGCUGGAAAUGAUUAAAACAUCACCCAGGAGGUAUGGUCUGGCGCCUGAUCCCCAGUCGCACGGGCUCCCACCCACCUCGAGCAGACUCCAGCUGCCCUUGACCACACUGUGCCUGCUGGUUCAAGCGACCCUAUCUAACCACGCCCAGCCUGGAGAGCAGGACCGCCAGGCCACACAGGUGGGGCCCCACUAGGAGAGAUGGUCUCUUCCCUCCACCCAGAUGAGCCUUCCUCGAAAGUGUUGAGUAACUACAGCGGUGACCUCUUUGCCCUGGAGUUUCUGUGGCACGAGAACAUUCUUAUCAAGUGCAGGGAGAGGUGAGGGCCCCGCAGACCACCUGAACCUGCUGGAAAGCCGACUGAGGAGAGAAAGUGUGGAGCCUUCAAAGGCUCAGAGGGCAUGUGGAUGUUUGAGGAAGUUCUCUGGUUUAGCCCUGGCUGGUGUAGCUCAGUGGAUUGAGCUCUGGCCUGCGAACCAAAUAGCGGCGGCUCGAUUCCCAGUCAGGGCACAUGCCUGGGUUGCAGGCCAGGUCCCAGCAGGGGACGCACGAGAGGCAACCAGACAUUACUAUUUCUCUCCUUCCCUUCCCCUCUAAAGAUAAAUAAAUAAAAUCUAAAAAAAAGA